AGGGUGCUUAGUUGUCUAUUGGUGGGUUUAAAUUUAGUCUUGACGAUUGUUCCUGAGCUUCAGCCGCAGACACUGGUAGCAUACCAUAACAGUCGGUCAAAACACAACUCUUGUUUUUAUUGUGUUGAGUGAGAAUACUUUUAAAAGAACCUUUUUUCGAGGGUUGUGAGUUGUCUAAUAGUAUUUAAAUUUAGUUCUGCCGAUAGUUCCUGGAGCAGACACCAGACCUGCAGCAGACAACAGACACUGGUAGCAUACCACAACAGUCGGUCAAAACACACUUGAUUUUACUGUGUUGAGUGCGAAUCUCUAGAAGAGUUUAAAGAACUUUUUUUCGAGGAAAAAAUAACACAAAAUGUCUGACAGAAAGUGGGUAACCGAACCUGAUGUAUACGUAUGUCCAUUGUCAAAGGAAACUCAAGAAAUCGCUAGGGAGGAGCUGAGGGAAGAGGAAAACUCCAGGGCUUCCGCUUUAGAAUCAAUGCGAGAAUGGAUUAAACAAAACCCAAAGAUUAAAAAUUGCC